GGAGGGAUGACUCAUGAAGUAAUAUAAGUGUAGAGCAACGGAGGUGUACGAUGUUAUGGUUGGCUUUGAUAAUAUUAAAGUCCAAUUGAAAAACUUAAAUUUUUGUAAUUGAGUUAAUAAUGUAUAUCAAAGUUGGCAUUUGAAAGACAUGAGAUAGGUAUCAUAUAUAUUGGGUUAGAAAAAUUAUACCAUUUAUUGUCAUACUGUAUGGUACAUACCAUGCUGGUA
rnacentral:lncRNA from 1 species